rnacentral:siRNA from 1 species
GAGGCUACUUCUACGGCAGUCUAC